rnacentral:ncRNA from 1 species
AAGAGACUUAGUCCCAACCUUGCCGUUAACUACCACCAAACACAUACAUGCAAGUAUCCGCAUCCCAGUGCAAACGCCCCCGCCUCGCUUGCUCAAGGCCGGGGAGCCGGCAUCAGGCACACAAUAGGCCAUGUAGCCCAAGACGCCUAGCACUAGCCACACCCCCACGGGUAUUCAGCAGUAGUCAGUAUUGAGCAAUGAGCGCAAGCUCGACUCAGUUAUGGUCACACCCCAGGGUUGGUAAAUCUUGUGCCAGCCACCGCGGUCAUACAAGAAACCCAAGUUAACAGCAAACGGCGUAAAGAGUGGCAUCACAGUGUCCUACCAAUUGGGGCUGAGAUGUGACCAAGCUGUCGCACGCUCAGAGCACACUCAAAACCACCAUUAACAUGGCCCCAACUCACACCCGACGAACAAACUCCACGAAAGCCAGGACUCAAACUGGGAUUAGAUACCCCACUAUGCCUGGCCCUAAACCUAGGCGCCUGCCACCUCAACCCGAGGCGCCCGCCAGAGCAUUACGAGCACAAACGCUUGAAACUCUAAGGACUUGGCGGUGCCCCAAACCCACCUAGAGGAGCCUGUCCUAUAAUCGACAACCCACGAUACACCCGACCGCCCCUUGCACAGCCAGCCUACAUACCGCCGUCGCCAGCCCACCUCCUGAGAGUACAGCAGUGGGCGCAAGAGCAACCCCGCUAACAAGACAGGUCAAGGUAUAGCCCAUGGGGCGGAAGAGAUGGGCUACAUUCUCUACAGUAGAGAACCCAACGAACGGGGGCAUGAAAUUCUGCCCCCCAAAGGCGGAUUUAGCAGUAAGAGCAGCCCCACGAAACUGCCCUUAAAAAGGCCCUGGGACACGUACAUACCGCCCGUCACCCUCACCACAAACCACCUUCACCCAUUCCUAAUACCACCACCGGCCAAAGAUGAGGUAAGUCGUAACAAGGUAAGUGUACCGGAAGGUGCACUUGGCACACC